rnacentral:rRNA from 1 species
GAUGAACGCUGGCGGCAUGCUUUACACAUGCAAGUCGAACGGUAACGCGGGGCAACCUGGCGACGAGUGGCGAACGGGUGAGUAAUGCAUCGGAACGUGCCCGGUAGUGGGGGAUAACUGCUCGAAAGAGCAGCUAAUACCGCAUACGACCUGAGGGUGAAAGGGGGGGAUCGCAAGACCUCUCGCUAUUGGAGCGGCCGAUGUCGGAUUAGCUAGUUGGUGGGGUAAGGGCCCACCAAGGCGACGAUCCGUAGCUGGUCUGAGAGGACGACCAGCCACACUGGGACUGAGACACGGCCCAGACUCCUACGGGAGGAAGCAGUGGGGAAUUUUGGACAAUGGGCGAAAGCCUGAUCCAGCAAUGCCGCGUGCAGGAUGAAGGCCUUCGGGUUGUAAACUGCUUUUGUACGGAACGAAAAAGCUUCUCCUAAUACGAGAGGCCCAUGACGGUACCGUAAGAAUAAGCACCGGCUAACUACGUGCCAGCAGCCGCCGUAA